rnacentral:rRNA from 1 species
GCCCAAGAGACUGGAUAACACCUGGAAACAGAUGCUAAUACCGGAUAACAACACUAGACGCAUGUCUAGAGUUUAAAAGAUGGUUCUGCUAUCACUCUUGGAUGGACCUGCGGUGCAUUAGCUAGUUGGUAAGGUAACGGCUUACCAAGGCAAUGAUGCAUAGCCGAGUUGAGAGACUGAUCGGCCACAUUGGGACUGAGACACGGCCCAAACUCCUACGGAAGGCAGCAG